rnacentral:rRNA from 1 species
GACGAACGCUGGCGGCGUGCCUGAUACAUGCAAGUCGAACGAAGCUGUUUUAACUGGUGCUUGCACCGACUUAAACAACUGAGUGGCGAACGGGUGAGUAACACGUGGGUAACCUGCCCCAAAGCGGGGGAUAACAUUUGGAAACAGAUGCUAAUACCGCAUAACCACAGAAACCACAUGGUUUCUGUGUCAAAGAUGGUUUCGGCUAUCACUUUGGGAUGGACCCGCGGCGUAUUAGCUAGUUGGUAAGGUAAUGGCUUACCAAGGCAAUGAUACGUAGCCGAACUGAGAGGUUGAUCGGCCACAUUGGGACUGAGACACGGCCCAAACUCCUACGGGAGGCAGCAGUAGGGAAUCUUCCACAAUGGACGAAAGUCUGACGGAGCAACGCCGCGUGAGUGAAGAAGGUUUUCGGAUCGUAAAGCUCUGUUGUUUGAGACGAAUGUGCAGACUUUGAAUAAGGGUUUGUAAUGACGGUAUUAAACGAGAAAGCCACGGCUAACUACGUGCCAGCAGCCGCCGUAA